GGAAUAUAAGAACACGUCUCUUAAAUUUUAACCAAAAAAACUAAGAACCGGUUUUUAAAUCUCUUAUUUAAGAGCCGGUUCUUAAAUCUCUUAUUUAAAAACCGGUUCUUAGCUUUUUUAGUUGAAAGUUAAGACACGGGUUCUUAUAUUCC
rfam:Brassica napus, WGS project CCCW01000000 data, contig: 30070